AUUGAACGCUGGCGGCAUGCCUUACACAUGCAAGUCGAACGGUAACAGGGAGCUUGCUCCGCUGACGAGUGGCGAACGGGUGAGUAAUAUAUCGGAACGUACCAUUGAGUGGGGGAUAACGUAGCGAAAGUUGCGCUAAUACCGCAUAUUCUCUCCGGAGGAAAGCAGGGGACCGCAAGGCCUUGCGCUCAUUGAGCGGCCGAUAUCAGAUUAGCUAGUUGGUGGGGUAAAAGCUCACCAAGGCGACGAUCUGUAGCGGGUCUGAGAGGAUGAUCCGCCACACUGGAACUGAGACACGGUCCAGACUCCUACGGGAGGCAGCAGUGGGGAAUAUUGGGCAAUGGGCGGAAGCCUGACCCAGCAACGCCGCGUGAGGGAAGAAGGUUUUCGGAUUGUAAACCUCUGUUCUUGGGGAAGAGGAGGAGACGGUACCCAAAGGACGGAAGCCCCGGAUAACUACGUGCCAGCAAGCCGGGUAAACCUGUAGUCGU
rnacentral:rRNA from 1 species